GAUGAAGAACGCAGUGAAAUGCGAUAAGUAAUGUGAAUUGCAGAAUUCAGUGAAUCAUCGAAUCUUUGAACGCACAUUGCGCCCGCCAGUAUUCUGGCGGGCAUGCCUGUCUGAGCGUCAUUUCAACCCUCAUGCCCCUAGGGCGUGGUGUUGGGGAUCGGCCAAAGCCCGCGAGGGACGGCCGGCCCCUAAAUCUAGUGGCGGACCCGUCGUGGCCUCCUCUGCGAAGUAGUGAUAUUCCGCAUCGGAGAGCGAUGAGCCCCUGCCGUUAAACCCCCAACUUUCCAAGGUUGACCUCAGAUCAGGUAGGAAUACCCGCUGAACUUAAGCAUAUCAAUAAGCGGAGG
rnacentral:misc_RNA from 1 species